CUCGGGCCUUCUGGCCGCCUGAGUGGAUACGUCAUGGUGAGUAUUUAGGUCGUCCUGCUACCAUCUGGAAUCUGGGUGUACUCCUAUUUGACCUGAUCUGCGGAGACUUGCCCUUCAAUACAAUGGAAGAAAUUACUGCUGGGAACCUGCCCUUAGCGCCUGGUCUGUCUGGAGGUUGCCAACAUCUGAUAACAUGGUGCCUGGAGCAAGACCCUCACUCUCGGCCAAGCUUCGAAGAAAUCCUCAGCCAUAAAUGGUUUACAGGACUUCAGAACUAAAUCCAGCUCCCUCCUGUCAACAAGGAUCUGGUAAAACACACUUACACCUUCACACUUACCUAAAUAAACAAACAAACAAACAAUCAAACAAAUAAAUAACCACAUUAAUAAAUAAAAUAAACAAACAAACAGACCGAUAGAUAGAUAGAUAAACAAGCAAGCAAACAAACACAUACAUUCAUAGAUACAUACAUACAGCCUUAUAAACACUUUCAUUAAUAUACACUGAUCAGCCAUAACAUUAAAUCCACUGAAAGGUGAAGUGACUGUUGUUGAUCUUCUUUUGGCUGCUCCCGUUAGGGGUCGCCACAGCAGAUUAUCGGUCCGCAUAUUCGAUUUGGGACAACAGUUGAUUUUGGGACAUAUUUGAUUUUGGUUUUUAUGCCGGAUGCCCUUCCUGAUGCAACCUUACCCAAUUUUAACCGGGCUUGGGACCGGCACUGGGAGUGCACUGUCGUGCAACCCCAGCGGCUGGGGUUGGUUUCCUUGAACCCGGGCCGCGGCAGUGAGAGUGCUGAGCCUUAAUUGCUAGUCCUCCAGGGACCCUGAAAGGUCAAGUGAAUGACAUUGAUUAUCUCAUUACUAUGAUCUCAUUAUCCUGUCAAGGGAUGGGAUAUAUUAGGCAGCAAGUGAACAGUCAGUUCCCAAAGUCGAUGUGUUGGAAGAAGGAAAAAUGGGCAAGUGUAAGAAUCUGAGCGACUUUGACAAGUGCCAAAUUGUGAUGGCUGGAUGACUGGGUCAGAGCAUCUCCAAAAAGCAGGUCUGGUAGGGUGUUCCCAGUAAGCAGUGGUUAGUACCUACCAAAAGUGGUCCAAGGAAGAACAACUGGUGAACCAGUGACAGGGUCAUGGGCUCACUGAUGCGUGUGGGGAGCGAAGGCUAGCUCAUCUGGUCAAAUCCCACAGAAGAACUACUGUAGCACAAACUGCUAAAAAAGUUAUUGCUGGCUAUGAGAGAAAGGUGUCAGAAUACAGAGUGCAUCGCAGCUUGCUGUGUAUGAGGCUGCAUAGCCGCAGACCAGUCAGAGUGCCCAUGCUGACCCCUCUUCACUGCCAAAAGCGCCUACAAUGGGCAUGUGAGCAUCAGAACUGGACCAUGGAGCAAUAAAAGAAAGAAGGUGGCCUUGUCUGAUGAAUCAUGUUUUCUUUUGUAUCAUGUAAAAGAUGGACGGCUGGUUGCGUGUACAUCACUUACCUGGUGAAAAAAUGGCACCAGAACGCACUAUGAGAAGAAGGCAGGCCGGUGGAGGCAGUGUGAUGCUCUGGGCAAUGUUCUGUUGGGAACCCUUAGGUCCUGGCAUUCAUGUGGAUGUUACUUUGACACGUACCACCUACCUAAACAUUGUUGCAACCAAGUACACCCCUUCAUGGCAACGGUAUUCCCUAACGGCAGUGACCUCUUUCAGAAGGAUAAUGUGCCCUGCCACACUGCAGAAAAUUGUUCAGGAAUGGUUGAAGGAACAUGAGAAAGAGUUCAUGGUGUUGACUUGGCCUCCAAAUACCCCAGAUCUCAAUCCGUUCGAGUGGGAUGUGCUGGACAACCAAGUCUGAUCCAUGGAGGCCCCACCUUGUAACUUACAGGACUUAAAGGAUCUGCUGUUAACGUCUUGGUGCCAGAUACCACAGCACACCUUCAGACCUGCCUCGACAGGUCAGAGCUGUUUUGGGGACACAAGGGGCCCUACACAAUAUUAGGCAGGUGGUUUUAAUGUUAUGGCUGAUGGUGUAUCAUGAUAUCAUGUAUAAUGAUUAUGUAUUUCAUUGAAUAAAUGAAAAAAAAAACAGUUAUUCAGAAAAUAAACAGGGCAGUGAUCUUACAUUACCAUGCAACACUAAGAUACUGUAGCCAAGCCUAUAUACAGUUUUACUAAACAUCUCAUAUUGGUCUCGGGCCUCUUGAUAGUUGGAACAACAAAAUCUGACUCUGAAACAGCGCUUGUAAAAGUUACAUCAAAACAGGGUCCUGUGGGUCAGUCUGCUGGCUGUUGCUGCUGUUGUCUGUUUGUGUGUUUGUCAGGAAGCACUGAGCCCACCUCACUGUGAUGCACAAAGCAGAUGUGAAACAGAUGUGAAGACAGCAGUACUACAGCUUCCAACAGAACCACAGACAUCUUAGAAGUUGCUGUGGAUGGGCCCACAUGGUUACCCUAAACAUUGCACAGUUUAUGCCCAAGUGUCACAUUUUCUGUUGCAUAACCUGGAUAAAGGAGACUCAGUAGUGCUGAGUAAUGACUUAUAGUCCCACUAUCAGACGUUACCCAAAAGAGGAUGGGUUCCCUUUUGAGUCUGGUUCCUCUCAAGGUUUCUUCCUCAUGUAGUCUCAGGGAGUUUUUCCUUGCCACUGUCGCCUCUGGCUUGCUCAAUCGGGAUCUAAAUAUACACCUGGAUUUCUGUAAAGCUGUUGUGGGACAAUAUCCAUUGUUAAAAGUGCUGUAUAAAUACAAUUAAAUGAAACUGAAUGGAAUGAUUGCUGCUACUCUAAUUGCUUUCCAUUCACCUUAACUGGACUGUGAAAACCACAGGACCAUCUGAUAUCUCAUCAUGCUGUUUUCAUACAUUCUAACCAUCAUAGAGAGGGAUUAUACAAAAGACUGAAUACGUAUACCUGAUGUAUCAAAAUGAAUGAUAAUAAUGCAUGUUAUUCAGCUGGCCAUCAAUUACAUAAAGUAGUCAGUUUAUAAAGGUUAUACAUAUUAUAGUAAAUGCUCCUUAGGGACAUUAACAGGGGUAUAUUUUCAUGAACUGAGAUGAACUCUCUGUUCCUUUUAUUUGUUUCUGUGAUUGAGAGUUCCCAGCUCUAUACUCUUCUUCUCUAUAUCAUGUUUUGUUUGUUUAUGAUUUGGUCUUUUUGCACAACUGGUGAACAAAUCAUUAUCAGUCAAUACCAUAUACUGAGUACUCAGUGUUAGUGCUGAUGGGCUUUGCAAUUCUAAACUGCAAAACUGAAACUUGAUAGCCAAAGCAUACCCAUAACCAGCCUCAAGAAUGCAUGAAUAAAUGGAGAGAGGAAAUGUACAGAAAUAUAAUGGAUGCAAUUAUGGUUAAAUAAUAAAUAAUGAACAAUUAUGGUUAAAUAAUGAAUUGAUGGAUUUUAUGUGCAAUUAUAUAUAUAUAUUUUUAUUUUAAUGAAACACCUUAAGAACCAGUGGAAUAAAAUAGACUGUGAGCUAUAGAUUGUUUCUUAGGCCUACUAAUUAGUAUGCAGAGAU